UUAAUCUCAAAAUUUAUUAGUAAACCAAUUCCCAAACGUGCAGGACACUAAUUGUCCCGCAACAAUUACAGAAAUACAACCGACCUGCUCAGUUCACUGGCAUUCUUUUCAAUGAGCCAUGGCAAUGCUGUGCUGAAAAACAAAGAGGACGAAACAUCUUGCACAAAAAGUCGACAGGUCUCAGGUUCCUUCGACAGCUUCUCCGCCAUCAAUAAAGAUAAUUUCAUAAAAUCUUUAACACAUUGAAUAUCCUCAAAGAGCACUUUAUCAUUUUUAAUAUGGUUCCAAAUUCCUUGGUAUCU